CCAGGAAAACCAUUUUUCUUUUCUGGAGGGUGACCGUUACUAGCAUCGAUUUCACGGAACUGGUAACAUGGCAAAAGAUGCCGGUCUAAUUGAAGCCAACGGGGAACUCAAGGUCUUCAUCGACCAGAACCUCAGUCCUGGGAAAGGCGUGGUGUCCUUGGUUGCUGUCCACCCCUCCACAGUGAACUCUCUCGGGAAGCAGCUCCUGCCAAAGACCUUUGGACAGUCCAACGUCAACAUCUCGCAGCAAGUGGUGAUUGGUACACCUCAGAGGCCUGCAGCGCCAAACACUAUCGUGGUAGGCAGCCCACACACCCCGAACACUCACUUCGUCUCCCAGAACCAGCCUUCAGAGCCCUCUCCUUGGUCUGCUGGGAAGCGCAACCGGAAAGGAGAGAAGAACGGGAAGGGGCUGCGGCACUUCUCCAUGAAGGUGUGCGAGAAGGUGCAGCGCAAGGGGACGACGUCCUACAACGAGGUGGCCGACGAGCUGGUGGCCGAGUUCAGCGCGGCCGACAGCCACAUCCUGCCCAGCGAGUCGGCCUACGAUCAGAAGAACAUCCGGAGGCGCGUGUACGACGCGCUGAACGUGCUCAUGGCGAUGAACAUCAUCUCCAAGGAGAAGAAGGAGAUCAAGUGGAUCGGCCUGCCCACCAACUCCGCCCAGGAGUGCCAGAGUCUAGAGGUGGAGAGACAGAGGAGGCUGGAAAGGAUAAAGCAGAAGCAGUCGCAGCUUCAGGAGCUCAUCCUGCAGCAAAUCGCCUUCAAGAACCUGGUGCAGAGGAACCGCCAGGUGGAGCAGCAGGCCAGCCGGCCGCCCCCGCCCAACUCGGUCAUCCACCUGCCGUUCAUCAUCGUCAACACCAGCAAGAAGACCGUCAUCGACUGCAGCAUCUCCAACGACAAGUUUGAGUACCUGUUCAAUUUCGACAACACGUUUGAGAUUCAUGAUGACAUCGAGGUGCUGAAGCGCAUGGGCAUGGCCUGCGGGCUGGAGUCCGGCAGCUGCUCCCCCGAGGACCUGAGGGUGGCCAGGAGCUUGGUGCCGAAGGCGCUGGAGCCUUAUGUGACAGAAAUGGCUCAGGGGUCGCUCGGCGGUGUGUUUGUCGCGUCGGCAGUGUCGACGUCUAACGGCACGCGGCUGUCUGCCAGCGACCUGGCCAACGGCGCGGACGGGGCGCUGGCCACGAGCUCCAGUGGGUCGCAGUACAGCGGGUCCCGGGUGGAGACGCCGGUGUCAUGCGUCGGCGAGGACGACGAGGAUGACGAGGACUUCAACGAGAACGAGGAGGAAGACUGAGCCGCCGCCCGCGGCCAGGAGCGCGCGGGGGGAGACCUGCGUUCCGCGCCCUCCUCCCAGAAGAGCUUGCCGACCCCCGGGCUCAGGGCGCUUCUGACGAGCCGCUCACCGUGCUCCGGGGGUCCCGACGAGCCGCCUGAGUUUGACACCGACGCACGACCUCUACUCUUGCGGAUUUUGUGUUUUCGUUUGCUGUCU
rnacentral:lncRNA from 1 species